GAUGAAUGCUGGCGGUGUGCCUAAUACAUGCAAGUCGAGCGGAAAGGCCCCUUCGGGGGUACUCGAGCGGCGGACGGCUGAGUAACGCGUAGGAAUGUACCCCAAACUGAGGGAUAAUCCACCGAAAGGUGGACUAAUACCGCAUGUGCUCUUCGGAGUAAAGCUUCGGCGGUUUGGGAACAGCCUGCGUCCGAUUAGGUAGUUGGUGAGGUAAUAGCUCACCAAGCCUACGAUCGGUAGCUGGUCUGAGAGGAUGAUCAGCCAGACUGGGACUGAGAUACGGCCCAGACUCCUACGGGAGGCAGCAGUGGGGAAUAUUGCACAAUGGGCGCAAGCCUGAUGCAGCGACGCCGCGUGAGGGAUGACGGCCUUCGGGUUGUAAACCUCUUUCAGCUAUGACGAAGCGCAAGUGACGGUAGUAGCAGAAGAAGGACCGGCCAACUACGUGCCAGCAGCCGCAGUAA
rnacentral:rRNA from 1 species